rnacentral:sRNA from 1 species
GGAGGGGUUGCUGCUCUCAACCCCAUGAAACCACGUGGGCGCGCACCAUACAUUUAUAUAGCAGGUACCUUUCAUCCUCUCAGAAUCAACCAGAAGAAAAGAUGGAAGAGGGAGAAAUGAAGAUGGAAGAGAGUUACACACUCGUGUGCUUUCUCCAUGUCUCCAAUAUUAAAUCAUGAUUCAAGGAGACUCAAGCAGUGCUCACUUCUCGUAACUCUGUCAUCAGUCUUUUCUCUUCAACCAGAUCUCAAAUGUAUUUCUACAAACUCUCAUCUUUCUAAUGCUCUAUGAUCCAUAUGUACCAUGUUCUUGCUAUGUGUACCACAGCUCAUAAUGGGUGAAUAAAAUAGUUUCUUGGUGGAUUUUUUUGGGUUCACGGAAGAUGUUUUAUUUUGGUAAGUAAUGUGUAAUGGGUU